UACAGAGGUCUCAAGCGUUGUUCGGAUUCAUUGGGCGUAAAGGGUGCGUAGGCGGCGCGGUAAGUCGGGUGUGAAAUCUCGGAGCUUAACUCCGAAACUGCAUUCGAUACUGCCGUGCUUGAGGACUGGAGAGGGGACUGGAAUUUACGGUGUAGCGGUGAAAUGCGUAGAUAUCGUAAGGAAGACCAGUGGCGAAGGCGGGUCUCUGGACAGUUCCUGACGCUGAGGAACGAAAGCCAGGGGAGCAAACGGG
rnacentral:rRNA from 1 species